rnacentral:ncRNA from 1 species
UCUCUGAUGAGAAGGCUUAAAGCGCUUUUUCGUGGAGGCCACACGCCCACUUGCAAUGGCCAUUAUGUUUUUGGGCUAUAAAGUGCAGCUCUGACAAAAGCGUUUGCUUAAAGCUGAAAGAGCAGUGGAGUUUAGUGCAAGCAGGGCUACUCUGU